UACAGAGGGUGCGAACGUUGCUCGGAAUUACUGGGCGUAAAGCGCAUGUAGGCGGGUCGGCAAGUCAGAUGUGAAAUCCCCGGGCUCAACCUGGGAACUGCAUCUGAAACUGCUGGUCUUGAGUACUGGAGAGGGUGGCGGAAUUCCUGGUGUAGAGGUGAAAUUCGUAGAUAUCAGGAGGAACACCGGUGGCGAAGGCGGCCUGCUGGGCAGUAGCUGACACUGAGGCGCGACAGCGUGGGGAGCAAACAGG
rnacentral:rRNA from 1 species